AGUUUAAGGUUUUUUAAGGUUUCUCAUAGUUUGCCUCUUUUUUGAGAUUGAAUAUGGACCGUUGAUUCUUUAAACCAUUUUUCUAUCAAGAUCUUCAAAUAAAUUGAAUAUUAUUUAAAUAUUAUUCAUUCCAUAAAAUAGCAUAUUAUUUCUCAUAUUAUUCAAAGAUAUGUCAAGUCAAGAUAUGAUUUCAAUAUUUAUGAUAAGAUGUGGUCAAACUUUUCCAUAUCUAAUAUUAUAUCACAUGUCACAAUAUACCUUUCCUAAAUUUGAAUAACUUUGACAACAAAGAAAACAACCAAGAGGUGAGGCGUGCCACCUAUGUGUGGCACGUGUGGGCUCCACCUACAUGGUAGGUGGUGGGCCCAUGUGCACUAUGGGUCCCCAUGAUAUUUAACAAAUUAAUUUCUAAAAUAUUAUUUGAAUUUUAUACUUUUGUAAAAUCAAUAACUUUAUUUUUAUAAAUCCAAAAAUUAUAAAUAAAAUAUCAGAAGACUCAUAAAAAUUAAAAUAAUAAUUCUAAAACAAUUUCUAUCAUCAAACAAACAUACUUAAAUUAAUAUGAUGGAAAAUUGAUCCAUAUGAUUUAGGAAUUGAAUUAACAAUCAUAGGGCACUCCACUUUCAACUGUUGACUAUAGACCACACUUGCUUUAUCAGACCGACCCAGUGUUUCCCAUGACCCACAGUCCAAGCAAGGCUCAUUAGCGGAUCACUAGAGUCUGGCCGAUGAGCCAAGGUGUUACAAUCCCAGUCUGUGGAUUUCAGGUCCUCUCCUAGAGACAAAUCAAGGUCACCAAGUCCUUAUGCGACCACAGCUCUAUGGCGCAUAAGAUUAUCUCUCGCACAUGCAUACGCUUCACCAUAAAAGAUGGAUAUCUGGCUUUCUCGAAUGAUCUAUCGAUAUAUAUGUCGUGUGAUGGAUCAUGGAUGAGGUUUUGACCCAUGUCUUUGUAGGCCCACCAUCACACACAAGGGUCACACAGUCCCUCGGCUCAUUCAUCUAGGCAUAAGCUUCGACAUCAUCAAGGGAUAACCCAGAACCCUUCUCAGUUUGUUCUCUAUGCCCAGAUACCUUAGAUUUUCCAACCGACUGGCCUAGAUCGUCAAGCACAAUCCGGUAUUAGCAAACAUCAAUUGCUUAAUAUGGUCCACGAGGAACCACACUCCCAUUGAGUUCAUGUUCUACUAUAUUAUUUCAUUUUACAAUCACUCAUAAUGCUUUUAAAGGCCACAGAAGCCCAACACUAAGCUCCUACAACAUAACCAACCUGCCCCCUCCAAUGGAGAGCCCAUCGCAUUGGCUAAGGUAAGUAAUCCUAGCAACCAAGUUGCCCCAGAUGACAACAAGGUCAAAAAUGAUGUUCUUGCGCAUCUUAGAAGGUUGCUAGCAUUGUUGAGUGGCUAUGAUGCGUCGAUGCUUUCCAAAGAAACUAGAAUGACGCUCAUCCCAUGUAAAGCACAUUGAAGUGUAUUUGGCUUUGCUUGCUCGGGUGACGACUUUGUGUAGGACUCCAAGUUCCACAAUCGGCCAUUAUUCUUGUGAGGGCAACUACAUGUCCAACCAAUGACCACAAUUAUGUUGGAUGUGUUAGAAACUGUAUUUUUAUAUAAUUACGCCUUAAGGCCCAUUAAAGAUGUAUUAUUAGCUUAUCGAAUAUGUGAACAAGAGCCCCAAUUUAUAGGGUUAUAAUGUUAUGUACACUACUAAGAAACUAACAUAGGUAAUGAAUUACUUUCUUUAUAUGGGUACACAUAAAAUGAAAGAAAAUAUUGUUCCCAAAAAUAAGUGCACAUUUCUAUAUUUCCUCACUCCCCCUCAAACUC
rnacentral:lncRNA from 1 species